AUGGCUUUCGGAUGCGAAACACACAGCCACCUUCCAGCGUCCGUCAUGCGUUUGGUCAUUUUGUCUCUUCUUCUGCAAACCGCAGAUACAGUGAUACAUCAAUAUCCACCUUUAGUAAGAGGUGAUAUCGGGAGCAAUAUAAGCUUGACUUGCCUCAUCGAAGACAUGACUGGCUACUGCUUCUCUGUUGUGUGGUUUAAGCUGGAGCUGAAGCGCUCCCCGCAUUUGAUCCCUUUCAACGCGUAUGUCCGAGGAUCUGACGUUUCCACUGGGGAACCGGUCGAUAAAACCUGUGUGCUUACCCUGAUCAUCCGAGAGGAAAACGACUCUGGCACCUUCUUCUGCGCUUAUGUGCGAGGCUCAUCGGUUUAUAUUGGAAAUGGAUCGACAGUUGUCGUAAGAAAUGUCACCGCAGGAGUUGUAAAACCCAUGAGCAUUGUGACCAUCACGCCCGACAACAGAGUCCCAUCUGAGAACAACACGGCUGAAUUAGUGUGCGUGGUUUUCCGAGCCCUUUCCGACCAGCUGCGCGUCCACUGGGUGAUAGCAGGACAGGUGCGGCAGGGGAUGAAGGCAUCCGGGGCAAUGCCUUCAGGUGAGGUCGCUCCAAACAUCAUCAGCAAUCGCAUCAUCAUUGAGGAGAGGGCCUGGAAAGACGGCACUCCGUUCACUUGCGUGGUAGAAACAGAAACCGGACAGCGUUUUAACAAGACCGUGAGCAAGAAAGGUGGAAUUCAGCUCACCCUGACACUGCUUAGAGUGCUGGAAAUCCUGCUGUUCUUUCUUGCAGUGAGCAUCACAGUGUGUUUUCUAUCCAAGAAGAAGUGAAGCUGUCUUUACAGACCCUCCCAAUUUAUUUUUUGCUUUUGUCUUUUCAUCCUGUUAUAAUAUAAUACCCUUUUCAUUAUAAUUCAACAUUUCUUCUAAUAAACAAUGCAGU
rnacentral:lncRNA from 1 species